rfam:Aedes aegypti strain Liverpool supercont1.94 genomic scaffold, whole genome shotgun sequence.
AAAACGGCCCUUUUCAGGGCCACCAAAACAUUCUACAUUGAAGAGU